rnacentral:rRNA from 1 species
ACGAACGCUGGCGGCAGGCCUAACACAUGCAAGUCGAGCGCACCUUCGGGUGAGCGGCGGACGGGUUAGUAACGCGUGGGAACGUGCCCAGAUCUACGGAAUAGCCUCGGGAAACUGAGAGUNAUACCGUAUACGCCCUUCGGGGGAAAGAUUUAUCGGAUUUGGAUCGGCCCGCGUUAGAUUAGGUAGUUGGUGGGGUAAUGGCCUACCAAGCCUACGAUCUAUAGCUGGUUUCAGAGGAUGAUCAGCAACACUGGGACUGAGACACGGCCCAGACUCCUACGGGAGGCAGCAGUGGGGAAUCUUANACAAUGGGGGAAACCCUGAUCUAGCCAUGCCGCGUGAGUGAUGAAGCCCUAGGGUCGUAAAGCUCUUUCGCCAGGGAUGAUAAUGACAGUACCUGGUAAAGAAACCCNGGCUAACUCCCGUGCCAGCAGCCGCGGUAAU